rnacentral:rRNA from 1 species
AUUGAACGCUGGCGGCAGGCCUAACACAUGCAAGUCGAACGAGUCGGGGAAGGGUGAGCAAUGUCUGGGAAACUGCCUGAUGGAUGGGGAUAACUACUGGACACGGUAGCCAAUACCGCAUACCAUCAGAUGUGCCCAGGUGGGAUUAGCUAGUUGGUGGGGUAACGGCCUACCAAGGCGACGAUCCCUAGCUGGUCUGAGAGGAUGACCAGCCACACUGGAACUGAGACACGGUCCAGACGCCUACGGGAGGCAGCAGUGGGGAAUAUUGGACAAUGGGCGCAAGCCUGAUGCAGCCAUGCCGCGUGUGUGAAGAAGGCCUUCGGAUUGUAAAGUACUUUAAGCGGGGAGGCGUUACCCACAGAAGAAGCACCGGCUAACUACGUGCCAGCCGCCGCGGUAAUAC